AUUGAACGCUGGCGGCAGGCCUAACACAUGCAAGUCGAACGAGUGGCGGACGGGUGAGUAAUGUAUGGGAAACUGCCUGAUGGAGGGGGAUAACUACUGGAAACGGUAGCUAAUACCGCAUACUAUCGGAUGUGCCCAGAUGGGAUUAGCUAGUAGGUGGGGUAAAGGCUCACCUAGGCGACGAGCCCUAGCUGGUCUGAGAGGAUGACCGGCCACACUGGAACUGAGACACGGGCCAGACUCCUACGGGAGGAAGCAGUGGGGAAUAUUGCACAAUGGGCGAAAGCCUGAUGCAGCCAUGCCGCGUGUAUGAAGAAGGCCUUCGGGUUGGAAAGUACUUUCAGCGGGGAGGCGUUACCCGCAGAAGAAGCACCGGCUAACUCCGUGCCAGCAGCCGCGGUAAUUC
rnacentral:rRNA from 1 species